rnacentral:snRNA from 1 species
GCACCCCCCCCAAAAAAAUUGGAACAACACAGAGAAGAUUAGCACGGUCCCUGCAUAAGGAUGGCAUGCAAAUUUGUGAAGUGUUCCAUAUUAAA